UACGAACUUACAAAAUCUUAAUUAAAAAUAAAUUGAUAUCAUGUUCUGAAAAACUAUCGUAAUCCAAUGAUCUAUUUUUUCAGCUUACCACUCUUUACACGAGGCGUGUUGUCUCAAAUUAUGUUGUAUAAAUAUCAAAAUUAUAUCCAGAGUUUACUUGUAGCUGUUCUAAGUUGUUGAUACAAAUUAUUGGAAAAAACCUAAACAUUAUUAGAAGUAAAAUAAACAAUUAUUUAUUUUUAUACAUUAUUAAUAGAUUCGGAUAUUUUUAGUAUAAAGAAAGUCAGUCACUCCCAUGUAAAACACAGAAACCGAAAAUAGACCAACAAAAAGCCGGAAUUGCAUGAACUUGUUAUUUAUUUAUGUUAACAUGUUAGUUAGCAAUAAUGCAUUCCGUAUUCCAAAUUUACCUUCAAGAAAUUUUCGGUUUUUUAAACAAUUAUAACAAAAUCACAAUAUACAUUAGAAUUCCUUUUACUUGAACAAAGCUUUAUAUUGAAAUAAAACAUCUUCAACAAAAACAACGGCUAUAAACGAAGCUCGACUCAUUAAAUAAUCAUUAUCCGCUAAACCGUUAGUAUUUGCGCACCAUUACAAUUAUGAAGUCUUCUUCGUCUAACGUUUGCGCUAGUAUUACUACUGAAGAUUACAAAUCUUCUUUCAUGAAUGGAUUUGAUAUUAAGACGACAAAGCGGUAUACCAAAAAUACGGCAGAAGAAUUGGUUGAUCAUUAUGUCAACAUGAUGCUAAUAGACUUUAGACUAUCAGAUGAACAAAGUCUAUAUCUUUCACCUUAUGGAUGCGACGUUUUGAAAAAGUUCGAAUGAACGGAAUACAAAAUGUUUAAAGACGUUUGACGAUAGGAGGAUGUGUUUCAAAUUAUUUAUUAAAAUAAUAUAUUUAUUUGUAUUUGUAUAUAAACUUGCAGUGUUUGUAAAAUAAUUUAUUAAAUAUUAAAUAAAAAUGUUUUGUGAAUAUUUUAGUCACGCUCUAUUAAUGCAUUUUGGCAACAACUUGGUUUGAAAACAUAAUAAGAUAAUGACGUCACUAAGAAAAUGACACGUUUUUAAACAAAAUAUUUGUUAAUUAAAAGCUACUACUUUGCAAUAUCGAAAGUUUGUUGCGAUUCGAAAUCAAAUUCAUAUUUUAAUGUUCCUGAGAAAAUAAAUUCUGUUUUAAAAACAUUCGGAGAGUACUCUAAUUGUAUUUUAUACAAAUAUGAAAUACAAUGAGAGUAUACUAAAAAUGGUUGUAACAGAAAAGACAAAGGCUGGUAAAUUCAUAAAGCAAACCGCCGACUACCAACUUGCACUAUACCGAUUUGUAACAAUUUGUAAUUGGCAUUCUCUGUUUUAAACUUAUUUUUUCUGUUUAUAAAUUAUUUCUUUGUAUUAUUCUUAUCUUUGUAUUAUAAAUUGUAUAAUUGUAAAAAUAAUUAAUUCGAAUAA